AAUCUCGGAUACUCUGAUCAUCGAACUAUGGUGUUCUUCUUUCCACGCAAGGUGAUGUGAUCACCCUAUCAUUUGUAUGCUGUUUUAUAUUUAUAUGCUGAUAUAAAUAGUUAUUAAUCUGAUUUAGAUCUAUGUCUAGCAUGUAGGAUCGGAUCGAAAAAUUUUUGAAUUCUGCUGCCUCUGAUCCGAACCGAUCCGAUGCGUCAUAUGAUCCUUCAACUGAUAUCAGAGUCAGGUUA
rnacentral:lncRNA from 1 species